GAUGAACGCUGGCGGCGUGCCUAAUACAUGCAAGUCGAGCGAAUGGAUUAAGAGCUUGCUCUUAUGAAGUUAGCGGCGGACGGGUGAGUAACACGUGGGUAACCUGCCCAUAAGACUGGGAUAACUCCGGGAAACCGGGGCGAAUACCGGAUAAUAUUUUGAACUGCAUGGUUCAAAAUUGAAAGGCGGCUACGGAUGUAACCUAUGGAUGGACCCGAGUCGCAUUAGGUAGUUGGUGAGGUAACCGCUCACCAAGGCAACGAUGCGUAGCCGACCUGAGAGGGUGAUCGGCCACCCUGGGACUGAGACACGGCCCAGACUCCUACGGGAGGCAGCAGUAGGGAAUCUUCCGCAAUGGACGAAAGUCUGACGGAGCAACGCCGCGUGAGUGAUGAAGGCUUUCGGGUCGUAAAACUCUGUUGUUAGGGAAGAACAAGUGCUAGUUGAAUAAGCUGGCACCUUGACGGUACCUAACCAGAAAGCCACGGCUAACUACGUGCCAGCCGCCGCGGUAA
rnacentral:rRNA from 1 species